GACGAACGCUGGCGGCGUGCUUCACACAUGCAAGUCGAACGGGGAUGCAGCAAAAGCUUGCUUUUAUUGCAUCCUAGUGGCGGACGGGUGAGUAACACGUGAGCAACCUGCCCGACAUACUAGGAUAACAGCGGGAAACCGUUGCUAAUACCGGAUACUCCAUUUCUGGCGCAUGUCAGAGAUGGGAAAGGGUUUACCGAUGUCGGAUGGGCUCGCGUCCCAUUAGCUGGUUGGGGAGGUAACGGCUCACCAAGGCUGCGAUGGGUAGCUGGUCUGAGAGGACGAUCAGCCACACUGGAACUGAGACACGGACCAGACUCCUACGGGAGGCAGCAGUGGGGAGUAUUGCACAAUGGGCGAAAGCCUGAUGCAGCGACGCCGCGUGGAGGAUGAAGGCCUUCGGGUCGUAAACUCCUGUCUGGGGGGAUGAACACUGACAGUACCCCCGGAGGAAGCCCCGGCUAACUACGUGCCAGCCGCCGCCGUAA
rnacentral:rRNA from 1 species